GAGCUAACAUCUGUGCCAAUCUUCCUCCACUUUGUGUGUGGGAAGCCACCACAGCAUGGCUUGACAAGUGGUGCGCAGGUCCGCAUGCAGGAUGCCAACCAUCGAACUCUGGGCCACCAAAGCAGAGCACAUGAACUUAACCACUACACCACUGGGCCAGCCCCUGGUUUUCAUAUUUUUAAAAAGAAUGCUCAUAAACACUCUACUUAGAAAAUGUCAAGAUUUUCAAAUUUCAUAACAUAGAGCUAUAUAUCAUAGCCCUUGCAAAUUUCAAAGAAUUCAUUUAUUUUGGAAUCAGAAUUGAUACAUGACCUAGUUUGAUGGAUCUUGUGGAAAAUUGGGCUGCUAGAAUAUUGGAAGGUGUGGAAAGAAUUGUAAUAGAGACAAAGAAAACUCAGCAACAUUUUUUAAAGGCAGUUGUUAACUGCAGGAAAAGAACAAAUGGUAAAAAUACUGUUGUCAUGGUGCACUCAACAUUAAGUUGCGCAUACUAUUUGCAUGGACAUAAUAAAGUGAAAAAUGAAUAUUUAACUACACAAAAAAAGUGAAUGAAAGGUGAGGAAAUGGAAAACGGAAAAAGUUGGAACAGACAACUCUGAUGGACUCAGGUGUGACUUUCUUGGAUCUUCCUCACUUGCCUCAGUAGCUGAUAUUAAACGUCCUGGGACUGCUUGAGCAUCUGUGUCUUUCCGGCUCUCACUGCAGCGUAUUACUCACGGGAGCGUCACCUUCUAUAACGUAACACCCGCCCCUCCUCUGCUCUUCUAUCAGGUGCUGUGCUGGGUGCUCCUUGUUGUGUCUGGAUGAGUCUGAGUCAACUCCAGAAAAUGGUAAUGGACGUGGAUUGGCAAAGAGAAAGGCAGGCAGAGGUUCUCAUUAGAAUCAUCUGACACUAAAAAAUAUUAAUAAAUACCUGACCCUAGGCCCCCUCACCUGACACUGCUUGAGUUCCCCUGGGGCCAGGAGCCCAGGCAGCCACACUUUAUGAAAGCUCCUAGGUGAUUCUCCUGUGUGACCGAGGCUGAGAGCCUCUGCUUUAGGGCAAAGACCUGAUGACAAAUAUUUGCAAGUGUGUGUGGAGAGCUACAGGCCUGUGGUGAAUAUUUCUUCUUCCUAAUUACAGUGGAAACAUGGCUUCUUCCAGUUUGCCAAGGGUGAGAGUAGAGUGAAUGCGCUCCACUGUGAUCACGCUAUCUGCUUGGGGAAGAUCGAGGUGAGCAUCCGGGAGUAGUGGUCCUCUGAGAUGCGAAGGAUUGCCGGAUGGCAAUAACAGGGUACAGAAUUAGGAAGGAACCUGGGGAUUUCAAGCAAAAACUGUGUGUCUCUGAGGAUGGAUUUAAUUAAAUUUACGGCAUUGUGAAGCUGACAGAAGAUAAAAGGGUGAAGAGAGUCUGAAAACGCAGCUCUAGGCUUUGAAGUCAGCUGGGUGCUGUUGGUAAACAUUGCUCAAAUUCAGUCUCAGCUCCCUUGUUUGCAAAUAGGCAUCCUCUGAGCCGCCACCGUGCAUGUUUGUUGUGAAGAUGAACUGCCAUGCCUGUCACGUCGACAGCAAUGAGCGUUAGUUACUACUCCUGUUGUUUGAAAUGUAUGAAGCUCUGUGUGAAGGGAGCUGCACCCCAGACUCAGGAUUUGGGUGGCUGCCUAUAAAGCAGUUUCCCUUGGAAACUGGUAUUGGCAUAAAGGACCUUCUGUUCCCAGGGCAAAGGGAGACGAGAGAAAUCACUUCACCCUGAGCCUGCAGGGAGCUGGAAGGAAGAAAGGCCAAGUAGAGGGAGCCAGAGCAAGGGUGUGGAGGCCUCAGGCUCAGGGACCAGGCCAAGGAGGAAGUGGAUCCAAACAGGUGGAACUGGCGUCAGAUCUGCACCCAUUUUGGAGACUGAGAGCCAGAAAAUGGGGCCACACUGGGCAGGGCUUUCACUGUGUCUUUUAGUGAACCAGCUCGAAUCCUAGAAAAGGACAGGCUGGAGAGACAGCAUGAAAGAUCAUUGAAUUUCACCAGUCUAAGUUUUUUUACUUUUUGCAUGAUAAUUCCAACUCGGGAUUACAUGAACUCAUAAUGCAUGUGAAAGUAUUUUCUAGAUAACAAAACACUAUGUGAAUAAAGUCUGAUUUUUUUUUUCUGUGUAGAGUUUAUACCUAGAGAUCCCCUCAAAUGAUACUGACCUUGUUUGCUCUCUUCUGGCAGGUUUCUGAGCACACUGCAUUGAAGCAGGUGUGUGGCUUGUGGGGAGGAGGAUAAGAAUGGCCAAGAAGGGCCAGGCGGGGCUGGAGGAACUGGCCCAAGGGUCUCUUCUGUGGAUCCCAGGCCUGGAGUAGCAGAAAGUUAUGCCGAGGGCUCGCCAAACAUCUCGGGGGCCUUCUGUUCAGAAAUUUCAAGGACACCCAUUUUGUCAUAGGGCUGGUUGAAGUGAAAAUACCAAGCUGGAGAGAAGCAAAAGAUGGGAUUGAAGAGUUUGGCUCAUAGUCCAUGCUCAUUAAUUGUUUGUUGAAAUGAAGACAAAAUGUGGGAUGGCAAUGUAGCAUAAAAGGAAGAGACAGCCUAGCAAAUAAGUCCAUGGUGUUCGGAUUUGAUGUUACUGGCAGCUGAAAGCCCUAUGUAGCCUUGAGUGGCAUUUAAGGAUCUGUAAAGUACUGAAAAUUGAAGAAAUAAAUGUGUGUUCAAGGUCAUUCAUCCAUUAAAUGGACUUUAAAGAAGAAUAUUUUCAUCAUGAGAAUAACGGUUGCUAUAACAACGUAUUUAAACAAGAUUAUGGAUUCUUCUUUUCUGAAUAGGGUUGCACCUUCUGGUUGAGCAGGUUGUUCACAGCACAAGAAUGGACAAUAGAGUUGGUCCUGAAAUCAGUCUGCUUUCUGCCCACCAAGCCGUGUACCCUGGUGUGGGGCUGCAUCUGCCCAGAAGGAUCGCCUUUUCCCCGUUCCCACAAAAGCACCCCAUGGAGUAGUGGCGGGCCAUCUCUGAAGGUCUGAAAGCACGAUGCAUGCUGUUCUGCUUAGAUAACUUCUUAAAGUAACUUUCAGACACUGGGGUAGGAAAUCAAUGACGUGAGCAAUAAAGUGGGAGAAAAAAGAGAAGAUAAAAAUGAUCAAGAUAUAAGAUAGAGGAAAUUAAAAAACCCAGCAAAGCAAGACUCCCUUCCUCCUCCGCCAGCCCCGGCACCACAGUGAAACAGGAUGGCUGCGGUUUAUGGUUCACAUUUCAACCUGGAUGGUGGGAGUUUCCAUGUUAUGUUCAUAGCUGCAAAUCUCUGCCACUCUCAGUGCUGACUGCUAACUGUUCAGGUGCACAUGCAGAGAAGGAAGUCUCUGCCACUCUCAGUGCUCACUGCUAACUGUUCAGGUGCACAUUCAGAGAAGGAAGUCUCUGCCACUCUCAGUGCUGACCGCUACCUGUUCAGCACCUCUGCAUGGCAAAGGAAGAAAGGAAGGAAGGAAAGAAGGAAGGUGGAGAAGAUUUUAGAAGCUAGGUCUGCCGAGAGCAGCUGGACUGAGCGAUCGACAGAGGACCUCAUGCCACAUGUGCUGAUCACAGUAGAACCUGUGAAUUCGAUUUUAUUAAGAAUGUUGAUGGACAUGACCAAUGCAUUAGAAAUAUACAAAUAUCUCACCACACCAGCGCUUUCUGUGAUUUUCACUCUAAGACUACAACAGUGUGAAAGACAGUGCACAAGUGUCAUCUAGCAUUGUGCUGCCUCUUCCAGAACACAAAGAUAACAAGGAAGCAGCAGGGAACAGAGGAGCCUCCAUCUGCAAGGAUGAAUGUGAUAAUGGUGGGGAGGCUCCUGCCUGCUUUACGUCCUCAGUCCUCAUAACGGUUCAGAUGGAUCGCAUCUCUGGAUUUCUGCAUCUUGUAGCCAGCCACGAGGCAUGGCCACACACUUUUGGGUAGCUGAAGCUAAAGCAAUUAUUUAGGUGGUUGACUAAUUGUGCCUUUAUGUUGCCUUCUGGAUAGAAGGAGGAAGAAGAGGAGGAGGAAGGAACCUUUAUGCCCAUUGUUUUUUACUAGGCUGCCAAAUUUACAUUGGCUUUGUUCACAUUUAGUGAUGUGGGUCUUAGCGAGAACAAGAAAUUACCCACUCAGGUGUGGGGGCUCUUGGUAUUUUAUACCGAAAACAAUGACUCAGACGUGAAUAUAAGUGAAAAGGGGGAGACUUCUUUCACAGCCUCUAGCCCCCAUUCAGAGUCUUCUUCUCUCUCUUGACACCCUCUGCCCCAGGAGAGCCUUACGCAGCCCUCUGGGCUGUCCAUGGCCCCUGGGCCUGAGGUAGGCGCCUAACUACGCCUUCCCCAGGCAGGAUCCCAAGCUUAGACCUUCCUCAAACCUGGGCUGUGUGUAAGGGUGGUGCUCCCUCAGCCAGGAAGCACGCCAGGACCAGCAGCCCAAAGAUUUUCAAUUAAUUUCCUAUUUGUUUUGCUUUUUAUUUCCUUCCCUCCCUCUCCUUCUUCCUUCCUAAAUCAUUCAAGUGUUUUAUUACGAAAGUUCAAAACUCUGUUCUUGGCCAAUGCAAGUAUGAAAUAAAAUUCCUGAAAGAUAUAAUAAAGAUGAAAUAAACUGUUAAUAGAGAGUCAAUGGAGCGAAUGGAGUCAUGGAGUUGAGAAAUGGCGCUGGAACAAUUGGACAUUCAUAUGCGAAAAAAAAAA